AUUGAACGCUGGCGGCACGCCUAACACAUGCAAGUCGAGCGGUAACAUGAUCUGUAGCAAUACAGAUUGAUGACGAGCGGCGGACGGGUGAGUAACACGUAGGAACCUGCCCAGGAGCGGGGGAUAACCAAUGGAAACGUUGGCUAAUACCGCAUAUAUUCGAGAGAAGAAAGCUGCCGCAAGGUGGCAAGCUUGGAGGGGCCUGCGUCCGAUUAGCUAGUUGGUGAGGUAAUGGCUCACCAAGGCGAUGAUCGGUAACUGGUCUGAGAGGACGACCAGUCACACUGGGACUGAGACACGGCCCAGACUCCUACGGGAGGCAGCAGUGGGGAAUCUUGGACAAUGGGGGCAACCCUGAUCCAGCGAUGCCGCGUGAGUGAAGAAGGCCCUCGGGUCGUAAAGCUCUUUAGGCUAGGAAGAAGGUUAUGGUAGGCAAUGACUGUAAUUUGACUGUACCAGCAGAAUAAGCACCGGCAAACUCUGUGCCAGCCGCCGCGGUAA
rnacentral:rRNA from 1 species